rnacentral:rRNA from 1 species
UACGUAGGGUGCGAGCGUUGUCCGGGAUUAUUGGGCGUAAAGAGCUCGUAGGCGGUCUGUCGCGUCGGAUGUGAAAGCCCGGGGCUUAACCCCGGGUCUGCAUUCGAUACGGGCAGACUAGAGUGUGGUAGGGGAGAUCGGAAUUCCUGGUGUAGCGGUGAAAUGCGCAGAUAUCAGGAGGAACACCGGUGGCGAAGGCGGAUCUCUGGGCCAUUACUGACGCUGAGGAGCGAAAGCGUGGGGAGCGAACAGG